rnacentral:rRNA from 1 species
UACAGAGGUCUCAAGCGUUGUCCGGAAUUAUUGGGCGUAAAGCGGGUGUAGGUGGCUUGGUAAGUCGGGUGUGAAAGCCCAGGGCUCAACCCUGGAAGUGCAUUCGAUACUGCUGAGCUUGAGUGCGAGAGAGGUUAAUAGAAUACCUGGUGUAGUGGUGAAAUACGUAGAUAUCAGGUGGAACACCGAAGGCGAAGGCGGUUAACUGGCUCGACACUGACACUGAGACCCGAAAGCGUGGGGAUCAAACAGG